rnacentral:rRNA from 1 species
UGGAGAUUUAAAGCCUAGAUUAUUAGUAGUUAAGUUCUUGAAAAUUAAUGAAGAUGGCGGUAUUUUAGUCCAUUCAGAGGAAUCUGCCCUGUAAUUGAUAUUCCACGAUUAAAAUUACUUGAGUUUUUAGUUUAUAUAUCGCUGUGGGUUGAAUAUUUCUUUUGAAUUUUUAAUAUUCAGGAUUUUGAGUGAAAGGAUAUCAAGUCAAGAUGUAGCUUAUAUUCAAGAAGAGGUGGAUUACAUUGUUUUUAUUUUUGGUUGGCACGUUGUGAUAUAUGCCAUAAAGUGGAUUUGAAGGUAAUUUUUUAUUAAUAUAUAAAAAAUGAUUUAGGCUCUAAAA